rnacentral:rRNA from 1 species
UCCAGACUCCUACGGGAGGCAGCAGUGAGGAAUAUUGGUCAAUGGUCGGGAGACUGAACCAGCCAAGCCGCGUGAGGGAUGAAGGUACAGAGUAUCGUAAACCUCUUUUGUCAGGGAACAAAGGCGGGGACGUGUCCCCGGAUGAGUGUACCUGAAGAAAAAGCAUCGGCUAACUCCGUGCCAGCGGCCGCGGUAAUACGGAGGAUGCGAGCGUUAUCCGGAUUUAUUGGGUUUAAAGGGUGCGCAGGCGGUGUGGAACGCCGGGGGAAACGCGCGGGGCCCCCCCCCCGCCCCGCCGUUGAAACUGGCAGUCUCGAGUUGGAGAGAAGUAUGCGGAAUGCGCGGUGUAGCGGUGAAAUGCAUAGAUAUCGCGCAGAACUCCGAUUGCGAAGGCAGCAUGCCGGCUCCACACUGACGCUGAGGCACGAAAGCGUGGGUAUCGAACAGGAUUAGAUACCCGUGUAUG